rnacentral:tRNA from 1 species
GAAUCGGUGGUUCAGUGGUAAAAUGCUCGCCUGCCACGCGGGCGGCCCAGGUUCGAUUCCCGGCUGAUGCA